rnacentral:rRNA from 1 species
AUUGAACGCUGGCGGCAGGCUUAACACAUGCAAGUCGAGCGGGGGAAGGUAGCUUGCUACCGGACCUAGCGGCGGACGGGUGAGUAAUGCUUAGGAAUCUGCCUAUUAGUGGGGGACAACAUCUCGAAAGGGAUGCUAAUACCGCAUACGUCCUACGGGAGAAAGCAGGGGAUCUUCGGACCUUGCGCUAAUAGAUGAGCCUAAGUCGGAUUAGCUAGUUGGUGGGGUAAAGGCCUACCAAGGCGACGAUCUGUAGCGGGUCUGAGAGGAUGAUCCGCCACAAUGGGACUGAGAAACGGCCCAGACUCCUACGGGAGGCAGCAGUGGGGGAUAUUGGACAAUGGGGGGAACCCUGAUCCAGCCAUGCCGCGUGUGUGAAGAAGGCCUUAUGGUUGUAAAGCACUUUAAGCGAGGAGGAGGCUACUCUAGUUAAUACCUAGGGAUAGUGGACGUUACUCGCAGAAUAAGCACCGGCUAACUCUGUGCCAGCCGCCGCCGUAA